GCCGCCCUGCCACACUCUCUCUCCUCCCAGAAUCCCCCCAAUCUCCCACCAGCCAUGGAUGCCGCGGCGCUGCCCUGUUUCGAUCGGCGAUCCGCUUGCUUCGCCGCUAGCUCCCCGAGCCCUACUACGGCCGGGCGCGCGCCCGAGCGAGGAGGCAUCGCCGCGCGCGGAUCAUGGAUGGUAGGUCGGAUGGCCGGUGGCGGCUGCGGCGCCGACGACCGAAAGGCCGGCUAGGUUAUCCAAUACAAGCUAUCCAAAUUUCAAUGGUGCUGAACUGCUGCAUUUCGAAACAUGAAUUACAAGACUUGCUUAUUGAUAUUCUUACACUAGGAUGAUCCUGGGAUUCUGUUUGCCAUCAUAGUAGUUGCAUUUCACACCUUCCCAGGUUUACCAUCGAUGGUGUCAGUGGUGAGGUUUUCCAUCCGAACAAGCGAGUAAGCCUCAAAGGCGUUGAUGAGUGGUGGGAGCUCCGAGCUGUUUGUCUUGCACAGGGUGAAAGUUGUACCUGACUCAUGUAGGUACCGGUCCCUCAGGUACACGCUGUCCACCUGCAAGUAGGACGGUGAGAAGGCCUGGUGCAGCUCGUUGCCAUCACUAUAGAUUUGGAACGUCCGAUUUGGGCGGUUCUUUUCUAUCUCAGCAAAGUGGAAGAUCGGGAGAAGCUCCAGGCUCUGGCCAUUCAGGUUAUCACCGGCCGUUAUGCUGAUGUUGAGCCAUGAAAAACCGCUGUUGAUGGUGGAUGCCUUCUGGACGAUGAGUGUUGGCACCUGGAAGUUGUCAUUUCCUGGGAGCUUGUUCACUGUUUGGUUGGUGGUCAGGUUGAGCCAGGGAUAGGAGUAGCAUUGGGCUGCUUCCCAGAAACGAUCAAAGAGAUCAGUUGGAUAUCUGUAUCACCACGGCAACAUAAAUGGAGAAGCAAUUGAUACAGGGCACCUACGGUUGCAAUAUGGUAUAAUAAAAGAAACAGAAAAAAAAGAAUCUUCAUCUCACCUUGUGAUGAAAUCAUCGACUGCCCCAAAUCUCAUUCGAGUAAAGUAGCUUACAGACACAAAAAGAUUCAGGAAUGGGUACAUUGGAUCAUCCAAUUGCCGCAACUCCAAUGCAGAAAUGAAAGGGGUUCCUGAUCCAAAGUUUACCAGGCACACAUAUAUGAACUCGUCCGGAGCAACCGUGAGCACCUCUUUCCAGAUAGUGUCUGAUGAGUCCUGUUUUGUCAAGUUCACCGUUGUCCAGAAGUUGACGCCGAUGUGGAGUCCAAACAGAAAUAAGGAACCGUUCUCUGACGACCUGAGUCCAUCGUAGUUUCCCUUCUCAAGGUUUUCUCUUGCUCAUCGGUGGAUCCACUAAUUAGCUUUGGCACAACUUCAUGGUGUGUGCCGCCUUCAACGAAUUCAUGAUCAGCAUUUGUGUGGUCGUCCUCUACGUCAGGGGUCUACCCGGCGUCCAGUGCGUAUCAGGGUGGAUUCGUUGCAGCUUCUGGAAAAUAAUUCGUUCCAGGCAAAUGGAAAAAAAAACUGUGGUUUGUCAGCCGUGGGAGGUGUUUGACGGCUGAUAAUCUCCGGAAGCGUGGGUGGCCAAGUCAGACCUUCUGCCCACUUUGUCAGACAGUAGAAGAGACCUGCAAACAUUCUUUCGGUGGCUGCCUCUUUUCCCUUCAGAUAGGGGCGCAGGUCUGUUAACACUUCGGAAUUGCACCGGCUUUCGAUGGGGAUGACCUGGUAGCGUGGUGGCUUGCAAUUCGGAAGGAUUUCCAGAAGUUACUUCCUCCGUCCAACAAUAUUUAUCUCUCUAGUAUUAAAAAAUUAUCUUGAAAUAGUUGUCAUUUGGAAGUACCACUUAUCACAUCAACCACUUCCAAUUUAAAUUCCUCUCCAUGAUACCCCUAACCACUAUUCCACAUUUUAUUAAGGGUAUUAUAGUUUUUUUCUUCUAACCUUAGCACAUGCUAAAUAAUUUAGAAUGACAAGUAUUCUGGUAAAGAGUUAGUAUGCAGGAAAUGCGAUAGUCAUCCUGGUCGUCUGGCAAGUUUGGAAGGAGCGAAACGCUUUUCAGCAUAUAGCACAGCCUUUUCAGAAAUGCUCAACACCAGCAGAAGACAGCAUGCAUCUUGUAUUGUGUCCUGCUGGCUGCUGUGAGCCUGCAUAGUGUUUCUUUGUUCAGCUCGUAGCCCUCAGGGCAGGUAUCCCAUGAGAUCGUCGUGUAUCCUGUAUUCCCGCGUUUGUACCACUUGGUUUCAUAUGCUCUAAUAAGGCCCUGUUUAGUUCCC
rnacentral:sRNA from 1 species